rnacentral:lncRNA from 1 species
AGGCAUCCUCAACAGGAUAACUUCCUGCAGCAACACAUUUCACUGAGUGGCAAAGGCCAGGUCGCCCAGCAAGCCACUGGGGAGGAAGGCAGGACAUGUGUGGCCCCAGAGCCUCAGUCUGUGACCUGGAGAACAGCCAAUUUGGUUUUAGGGAAUCAGGUUGUCCUGUUGUCUGGGCCACAUCAGGCCUGGCCAGCCAGAGAUCCAAAACAAACCUGAUGCCGCUCACAGCUCAGCGGCCUGAGGUCAUUCACUCACUAUUCCUUUAGGAAACAAAUGCCAGCAAGUGGUGUAAGAAUACCAAUGCCAUUGCAGGCUCUGCCAACAGACUCAACACUUCCAUGUAACCAGCUCCCAGAUCAAGAAACAGAACCUUCCAGGAGCCUCCUGGUGUCCCCUUAAUCACUACCCCUCCUCCCAAGAUCUAGGCACAGAGGUCACUCUGAGCUUCCAUUUGGACAGCUGCCUGUUCGUGGGAAGAUCACCAAGCUCUUAACCCAGGAAGGGAUGCUGUGCUGCAUAUUGGCGUUGUUGUGAGGUCAAGAGAGAUUUCAUCCCUGCUGUCCUUCCUCAGAUGGGUCAUUAUGUCUGGAUUCAGGAAGAGAAUAUGCAAAUGUUGAGUCUGUGCCUCUUAACAAACUCAUCCUGCAUGAAAAAUCAUUAUUUACUUCA